AGUGAACGCUGGCGGUAGGCCUAACACAUGCAAGUCGAACGGCAGCACAGGAGAGCUUGCCCUCUGGGUGGCGAGUGGCGGACGGGUGAGGAAUACAUCGGAAUCUACUCUGUCGUGGGGGAUAACGUAGGGAAACUUACGCUAAUACCGCAUACGACCUACGGGUGAAAGCAGGGGACCUUCGGGCCUUGCGCGAUUGAAUGAGCCGAUGUCGGAUUAGCUAGUUGGCGGGGUAAAGGCCCACCAAGGCGACGAUCCGUAGCUGGUCUGAGAGGAUGAUCAGCCACACUGGAACUGAGACACGGUCCAGACUCCUACGGGAUGCAGCAGUGGGGAAUAUUGGACAAUGGGCGCAAGCCUGAUCCAGCCAUACCGCGUGGGUGAAGAAGGCCUUCGGGUUGUAAAGCCCUUUUGUUGGGAAAGAAAUCCAGCUGGCUAAUACCCGGUUGGGAUGACGGUACCCAAAGAAUAAGCACCGGCUAACUUCGUGCCAGCCGCCGCGGUAA
rnacentral:rRNA from 1 species